rnacentral:lncRNA from 1 species
UUUAAGGUGAAUGGACAUAGGUUAAAACAUUUUCUUGAGAAUUUUGCAGAUGAAGAGGACUCAUUUUUCUUGGAGGAGCCUUCUUACGACUGAGCAUGACGGCAAACGUAUUUGUAUAUUAGUUAGAAUUAAUUUUUCUUUUAUUUCUAGUUUUCUUCUUAUUUUGUAGGUUUUCUUUUCUGGAUAUCAACAGCUCAAGGUAUUGCUCUUCUCUUCAAUAUUAUUUUCUCUAUUGUAUCUACUACAUUAAGGACAAUGCAAUGUUUAAGUUGGGGGGAGGGAAAUAUUUUGGUUAAAAAAAAACUUGUUUUUGCAUUUGAUUUAUUCUAUUACUUUCUUUUCUAAGCAAAUGCACAUGUAUUUUCAUAUUAAGUUUGUGCAACUAUUGAGGCAAGGAACACAUGCGUACUAUGACUGAUCAGAGACUUAUUAUUAGAUCCCCGCACAUGUGCUUAAUGAUUAUAGGAAGGCCUCAGGAGUUCACAUUUGUUUAAUGCAUUUUUAUUAAGCUGUAUCUGUAAAAGAAGUACGAGUAUCCUUGUCCGUACUAUAAGGUUCAUAAUUUGGUUUUCACAUAAAGAUAGAGGUUGAAUACCCUGGCUAGAUCACCUAAAUAUCUUACGAUUCGACCUUGGUUGACCUAUAGUCACGAUGCAGUCACGUAUAUAAUAAAAAUAUCUAUAUGGUUCAGUCUGCCUUCUCUUUUCUUGCAAAAUUAUUAUUAAAAAACAAAUUCUUAUGAUGACAAGUCUGACCUCGUGACAUAGUCUGGUUCGAGUAAUUAAGUCCGAGGCGUGUUUCACCUAAUGUCUUGAGCCAACUGGAUCGGGGGUCAUUGGCCGAAAGCUCGCUACAUGGACCUUACUAAAGCCUAAUGGGGUUGGACAACUGUAGUUGUCAUAUGUAAAAAAAAAAAGCAUGAAUGAGUUGGUCAGGCUGAACCCAGUGACAUGUGGUAAUGGCUAGUUUGACUCCAUUGUAUUGGACCUCUGUGUACCCGGAUUGUUUAGUUGGGAUUGAUAGCUCUUUCUUUACAUACGAACCAUUCUUGACGAACGUAGACAACAUGUGAUAUUCUGAAAAUUUGAUGGAUCAGGUUCUAACAAAUUGUAGUAGACACUUGUGAACUUGAGUAGUGCACCUAAAAUUCAAGUGGUACCAUGUUGUGGUGGAGGUAUUAGUACUCUGAGAAAGUCAUACGAUUUUAUGCACACUACACUUUCAUAGUUUCCUUGCUUUGAAAGUUGCCAUGCUUGAAAAUAUAUAUUAAUUAAUUACAUGUGUAUUAGCUUAGGCUUUAUUUCAUAUUUUUAGGAUCUCAUGUCACAUCAUUCAUGAUGUUUGUGGGUAACAUCCCUGAAAACCCUCACGAGACAACACUCGUCCACUAGGAUAACCUAGGGGUUUAACGGCUUUUUGCACGUGCUAAGUGCAAUCGUAAUGCCCUACGAAAGUGGGUACAUCCUCUUAGUUUUAUGUCUUUAGCUUUAAUAAAAAGUCAAAGGAUUAACCAACACUUUUUGUACUCUCAUGUUAUUGUUUACUAUGAAUUGUUAGAGACUAGCAAUAAGCUAGCUGGGGGGUGUGAUGAGAGUACAAAAGUACGAUCUACAUACCACUUAAAUUAGUAUUAUUGCUAACAAGAUAAUGAUAAUCCCAUUGGAUUAAUAUUAUAUUUUUGUUGAGUGUAGGUGAUCGUAAAUCGAGGCCAAAAUGCGCAUUCAGUAUAGUUUGGGCUUAGAUGCAUAACUCAGACUGCGUAUGCCCAACCUCGUCAUAGUCCGAUCGAAUUCACCAUUUAUCGAAGGACCAGCGAGGAGAUCCCGAUCAGUGUGCAUCCUCCCAGCAUCCCGUGAAUUUCCAUCUUCGCCAUCCAGGAUGAUCCCGUGAUGCAAGCGAUCGUGAUCUUCGGAGCGCAUCCACAAUCUCCCAAAAUUCACUCCUUCAACCAUUCGCAUGAGAUCAGCCAUCUAGGUCCCCGCGUCCAAGGCCCAGCUUCUGAGUUCAUCCGUUCGCGUCCCAGAGCAUCACAGCAUCCGUGAUCCCAAAGCAUUCGCGUCUCAGACCCCAGCAAAGGCGAUCGCAAUCUUCACGAGUCCCAGCCGUUCGCGAGCGUCUCUGCAUCCAAUGCGUCCGCGAAGCAUCCUCCCAGCGAAGAGAUCGCGAUCUGUCCGGCUCUUCCGGAUUAGCAAGCAAUCAGCCUUCCGCCCGUUUCACGCAUCCUCCCAGCCGUGAGCGAAGCAAUCCUUCCGCGAUCAGCUCCUGCAUCCCCUGGAUCCGUCCGCGUGCAGCCUCCCAGCAUCAUCCCAUGCACAAUCUCAGGCGUCCAAACUCUUCAUCGUCCGUGUCCCAGCUUCCACCCAGCGUCCGAGCGUCCCGCGUCCGGAUACUCCGCGUCAACUUUCUUCUUCAAUCGAUUCCAGCAUCCCGUGAAUGGUCCCAGCCAGCCGUGAAGCGUCGCAACGUCCGCAAGCCCGUGAUCCCAUGCCUGCCGUCCGCCUCCUCCAUCACGGCGCAUCCGAGCGUCAUAGCAGGCCCCGAGUUCGCGAUCUC